CCUAUAUACAACUCGGUCACCAUGGGGAUGGGCCAGGGCCUUUUCCUGUUGGUCCAGACCCCUCAAUCUGCCCAGAGAAGCCACGACAGGAGAGUGGUGAUUGGUGCAAACGACAUGGGAUGAGGGACUUGCUGCCUGGCUGCUGAAGUGCUUCUGGCAGAUGUUUUCAGCUGUCAGCCCCUUCAGAGACUGCCUAAGCUGCAAAGAACUGCAUUGGGCAAGCAAUCACCAAGUUCAGUCACUGAUUUAUGUGGUUGUAUAAAGGCCUAUCCAUCUUGGCCCAACUUGACACAACUCUGAAGGACCACUGUUGCUUCAGAUUCCCUGUGGGGUCAGCUAAAGUAGUUGUUGGGCCUGCGUCACAUAACUUUCCCUCUGCCUAUGUUCUGUGUCCUUUUCCUUCUUCCCCGAGAUAUUGAUCCUAAGGAUACGCCUUAAUAAAUACUGUAUAUGCUGAACUCCA